GGGGCAUCUGGUCAACACAAGUGACUUUUACAGCACGCUUGAUUUUUGUUUCAGUCUCAUCAUUUCUCCAGUCUGAUUCAACGCCACAAAGAAGGAAAGACAUCACAUAGAUGGAGGACAAGAAGGAAGUGAAGGAUGUGGACAGUGUGACAUUCCGGGGGGAGGAGAUAAAAUCAAGUCCAGCGACGCUAAUAAAGAGGAGAGAGAUGCCAGCCUCGGAGAGAGAGCCACCAAGGGCCGCCGAACGGUGACUGGGCUUCCCGGUCCACGUAGAAACAUGGUUAGGAGCUAAAGAGAGAACGCGAGUGACACAGGUGAAAGACAGAGAAAGGCAGGCCCACGGAACCAAGUGGUGUGUUACAGUGGUGCCGAAACCCAUGCUGGAAGAGAGAAAUGACACCAGGGGGACUUUGCUGUGGACCAACCUUUUCCACCCACUCACCCGCUCCUCAGACUCUGGGAGCACUUUCCACCAGCUUUCGCCUCUCAUGCUGGGGGGAAUCAGCUCAGGCCGGACAGUUCCCUGGCCUGAUUCAGGCACUGGGGGUAUGUGCCAGCAGAGUGAAAGUGGAGGGCAAAACCAGACCGAAUGAGCAGUAAGAAAUACCUGCAGAUGAUGAGACUUAUCAGUGCGCUCUGUUUCAGUCCGGUGACGCCAAUAAAGAGGGGAAAGAUGCCAACCUCCACCAAGCAAAACCGGGCCUAAGGGUUGCCGAGUGGCGGGUGGCGGUGAAAGGCGAGGGCACUCAGGGGGAUGCCAGAGAAAGCGAGUGAGACAGGUGGAUGUCAGGGAAAGGCGGGUCGAUUUGCGAGUGGGUGCCGGCGGUAUUUAUUAUGUGAUAUUGUAAUCGUUAUUGAUGACAUCACUAGGACAAGGAGGCUAAUAUCCUCUUCCUUUUUUCUUUUUUUUUUUUUUACAAAUUUGAUGCUAAACAAGCAAAAAAAAUAAAACCCACAAUCCAGUUGAUUACUAAAAAAAUAAAUUAUUACAAGUCCUUGUAAACUAUGAGAUUACUAUAAGUUUUUUUGUUUUAUAAGAUUGUGAAGCCAAAGACAACUUUGCAUUUUUUGGACAAAAGGAAAGGAAAGGAAAGGAAAAGAAAGGAAAUUAUCUCAAUUUCGUUUUUUAUUUAUUAUAGUGGUAUUGUGAUACUGAAUGAUGACAUCACUAGGACAAGAAUGCUUGAUUUAUAACAAGUCCUUGUAAACUAUGAGAUUACUAUGAGUUUUUUGUAUAAUAUAGUGAGACAACUUUGCACUCUAUGGAAAAUAAAUGCUAGCUAAUUUAAAUGCUAAUUAACUAAAUACCCAACAAACUAACUAACUAAUCUGCCGUCCUUCGAAUUUCUUGAAAAUCCCCAGAUAAAGAAAAGUAACUUCUCUUUGUUACUGAAGAGUAGAAAAUAACAAAUCCUUGUAAACAAUAUUAUAAUUGAGAUUUUUAAUACAAAGUUUAGAAAAAUUGUCAUUUUUAGGAGCUACGCUCAUGGACUAACGCUUCUAUUGUGUGUGAGAUUUCUCUCAACUCCCAACUUUUCGAGGAGGAUUUAAACCCUUAAUGCUGCGACACUGUAUAUCCAGAGAUUUAUAGCGGGACGUACAAGAGAAAAAAAAAAAAUCCGAACAAAAACAAUGGCGUCGCAUGCACCGCUGCCAAAGUUGUAACGAGUUAACAAGACAGAAGAGCGUGAAAGUACAAGAGGAGGAGAGAAGCCGUUAGAGCUGCCUACAAUAACAAUGCUCUUGUUGACCAUGGCUCAGGUCUAAUUUCUUCGAUAGAACAAAUCCAGCGUCGGAGCCGAGUUAAGAGUUCUUUUGGCCAAACCAACCCGGGAGCUGUUGCGAUAAAGGGCUGCGUUACGACGUCUCCCGCCAGGAAUGUCGGGAAAAUUGUGACCCGCCGUUGCAGAUUCUUCUCCUACUUUUCUUUUUUUCCUGGGAGAAAAAUGACCGGCAUGCAGUCUGACCCUCCACGUUUUAUUUGUUGCGUUUUUAUUCCCCAAUGUGUAUUAAAGGAAUAGCGGGGGAGGUGGAGGUCGUGGUGGAUGAAUAUGAGAUUGCUUUCCAUCUUCACUUUGAAAGCUCUCCAGUGGCCCGGGAACCCCCGCAUUAUUUUCUCUCAUUUUUUUUCCCCUCCCUCCCUCCAUCCACGUCCUGUCCUCUGAAAGGUUUAAAGCUCAUGCCGCAGCUGGAUUCUGCCUUUGUACAUGAAACAGUGUGAGUAUUACGCGGCCACUCAUCAUGUGUGUUACGGCAGCGUGAGCACCGAGCGCUGCCUCCCUGACGCCAGGGAAGCGUUACGGUGCUGCAGGCUUUGAUCAGAACGCCCGAGAUGGCUGAUGAGCAUUAAUCAUAUGCACAAUACUGUCAAAUAAUUUAGAUUUUUCCAAUUAAUUUGGGGGUGGAGUUAUAAACUCCGCCCAGAAGCUAGUAGGGUCGUUAAUUUAUCAGUUUACGGUAACGUGUAAAUGUCUUGUAAAACAUUCCCGUAGAACAAAUAAAGUACAGCUUUUACGUCUAAUUUGUUACUAUAGCAACCGCGUAAUAUGUAAAAAGGUCAUGUCCACACUAAUACAUUUACAUUUUUUUCCCCUGGUUUGGCCUUCCGUCCACACUCAGACAAGGCAAACUGAGCUUUUUAAAAACGGUCCCAAGGGGAGCAAUUUGAUGUUGGCGCGAUGUUGCCGCGACGUUUCGAAGAACCGGGAAGUAAAUAAACGGCGGGCGUUUUGCUCACGCGCAGUAGAGCAACGUAAAACUUUUCAGACAUUUCAGUGUGAAUCCGCAACUUUUUGAAAAUAAUUGAAACCGAUAAUGUGGACGUGGAGCGUUUUUACUCAAAUUUAUUCGGAUUAGCGUAGACGUAGCCUCAGCCCUCUGUCUCUUUUUCUGUCGUUCUCUUUCUCUCCUCCCCUCUCUCUGAAAGACAUUAAGGCUGUAGGGAGGAGAUGAAGAAUAUCAUGUACUCUUGAGCUCUAUCUGUUUUUCCUCGCUCCCUCCCUCCUGCCCAUCAGACGGGGGAACAAAUGCCGCAGCGCCGCAAUAAAGAAUAAAGAGAGGAGGAGGAGACGAGGCCGAGAGGGCAACAUUCGUCUGACGGCGACCUCAGACGAGCCGGGAAGAGCUUAAGCUCUACCCUGGACUCGCUCCGUCUGUCUCUGUCUCAGAGCCGACAAAAAGAGAGGAGAUGAGAUGAGAUGAGAUGAGAUGAGAUGAGAUGAGAUGAGUGGGAUUUGAGAGUUUUUGUGAUACGCGGGUGUCGUAUUAUCCGAUAAUGCAAGUGGAGAGACGAGUCUGUGAAUCUAAGUUAUGUGUCAUGAAACAGCUUUGUGAAGGCGAGACUGAAAGAUGGGAAAAAAAAAGGUUUCAAAAUAGUGAAAAUGAUUUUAUAUUUAUAGAAUGUGUUUUACAUGUUUAUAAUGCAUUUGUUCACUGAGGUUCUGAGCUGUUUUUGAUUCUUAAUAUAGAUCCCUGAUUAUGGAUUCUUGAUUUUAACUACUGAUUCUUGAUUUUGCGUCUGAAGUCUUGAUUUAUUUUCUAUCACAGUCAAGUCAAUUCAAGAAGCUUUUAUUGUCAUUUCAACCAUAUAAUAGCUGAUUCAGUACACAGUGAAAUGAAACUACGUUCCUUCAGAACCUCCAGAAGCCUGACAGUAGAUGCAGCUGAUGUGCGAAUCACGUUUUGAAGAAGUACGUAUGUAGUCGUUCUAAUGUUAUCACUAAGGACAUUUUACAUAUAUGGCAUUUGGCAGACGCUCUUAUUCAGACAGACUUACAUUUAUCUCAUCCGUACACCUGAGCAGCUAUGGGGUCAAGGGCCUUGUUCAAGGGCCCAACAGUAGCAACUUAAUAGUUCUGGGAUUUGAACUCAAAACUUUCAGAGCCAUAGUCCAAUGCUUUAACCAAUAAGCCACCAGCAUUUCAGAUUUUGCAGAUUUUGUGCUUAUUCCAGGUUGUUAAUAAAGACAGGUACUGAUAUAGGUGAGGUGAGGAGGCCUGGGCUGCAGUCAGUGGUCCAGUUCAUCAUGUUCAAUAUGUUUAGAGCUCAAU